UUUACGGAGAGUUUGAUCCUGGCUCAGGAUGAACGCUGGCGGCGUGCUUAACACAUGCAAGUCGAACGGUGAAGCCAAGCUUGCUUGGUGGAUCAGUGGCGAACGGGUGAGUAACACGUGAGCAACCUGCCCUGGACUCUGGGAUAAGCGCUGGAAACGGCGUCUAAUACUGGAUAUGAGCUCCUUCCGCAUGGUGGGGGUUGGAAAGAUUUUUCGGUCUGGGAUGGGCUCGCGGCCUAUCAGCUUGUUGGUGAGGUAAUGGCUCACCAAGGCGUCGACGGGUAGCCGGCCUGAGAGGGUGACCGGCCACACUGGGACUGAGACACGGCCCAGACUCCUACGGGAGGCAGCAGUGGGGAAUAUUGCACAAUGGGCGGAAGCCUGAUGCAGCAACGCCGCGUGAGGGAUGACGGCCUUCGGGUUGUAAACCUCUUUUAGCAGGGAAGAAGCGAAAGUGACGGUACCUGCAGAAAAAGCGCCGGCUAACUACGUGCCAGCAGCCGCGGUAAUACGUAGGGCGCAAGCGUUAUCCGGAAUUAUUGGGCGUAAAGAGCUCGUAGGCGGUUUGUCGCGUCUGCUGUGAAAUCCCGAGGCUCAACCUCGGGCCUGCAGUGGGUACGGGCAGACUAGAGUGCGGUAGGGGAGAUUGGAAUUCCUGGUGUAGCGGUGGAAUGCGCAGAUAUCAGGAGGAACACCGAUGGCGAAGGCAGAUCUCUGGGCCGUAACUGACGCUGAGGAGCGAAAGGGUGGGGAGCAAACAGGCUUAGAUACCCUGGUAGUCCACCCCGUAAACGUUGGGAACUAGUUGUGGGGACCAUUCCACGGUUUCCGUGACGCAGCUAACGCAUUAAGUUCCCCGCCUGGGGAGUACGGCCGCAAGGCUAAAACUCAAAGGAAUUGACGGGGACCCGCACAAGCGGCGGAGCAUGCGGAUUAAUUCGAUGCAACGCGAAGAACCUUACCAAGGCUUGACAUAUACGAGAACGGGCCAGAAAUGGUCAACUCUUUGGACACUCGUAAACAGGUGGUGCAUGGUUGUCGUCAGCUCGUGUCGUGAGAUGUUGGGUUAAGUCCCGCAACGAGCGCAACCCUCGUUCUAUGUUGCCAGCACGUAAUGGUGGGAACUCAUGGGAUACUGCCGGGGUCAACUCGGAGGAAGGUGGGGAUGACGUCAAAUCAUCAUGCCCCUUAUGUCUUGGGCUUCACGCAUGCUACAAUGGCCGGUACAAAGGGCUGCAAUACCGUAAGGUGGAGCGAAUCCCAAAAAGCCGGUCCCAGUUCGGAUUGAGGUCUGCAACUCGACCUCAUGAAGUCGGAGUCGCUAGUAAUCGCAGAUCAGCAACGCUGCGGUGAAUACGUUCCCGGGUCUUGUACACACCGCCCGUCAAGUCAUGAAAGUCGGUAACACCUGAAGCCGGUGGCCCAACCCUUGUGGAGGGAGCCGUCGAAGGUGGGAUCGGUAAUUAGGACUAAGUCGUAACAAGGUAGCCGUACCGGAAGGUGCGGCUGGAUCACCUCCUUUCUA
rnacentral:rRNA from 1 species